UACGUAGGGUGCAAGCGUUAAUCGGAAUUACUGGGCGUAAAGCGUGCGCAGGCGGUUUUGUAAGUCUGUCGUGAAAUCCCCCGGGCUCAACCUGGGAAUUGCGAUGGAGACUGCAAGGCUAGAAUCUGGCAGAGGGGGGUAGAAUUCCACGUGUAGCAGUGAAAUGCGUAGAGAUGUGGAGGAACACCGAUGGCGAAGGCAGCCCCCUGGGUCAAGAUUGACGCUCAUGCACGAAAGCGUGGGGAGCAACAGG
rnacentral:rRNA from 1 species